rnacentral:rRNA from 1 species
AAGUAAAAGUCGUAACAAGGUUUCCGUAGGUGAACCUGCGGAAGGAUCAUUAUCGUACAAUGGAGGUGCUGGGGUUGUCGCUGACUUUUGAAAAUCGUCGUGCACACCUCGGUGCUCUUCACAUACAAUCCAUCUCACCCCUCUUGUGCAUCACCGCGUGGAGGCCCCUUUUGGCUAGUUCUAAGGGGGGUUUUCACGUUUUUAUACAUACACCAUUUUAAUGCAAUGCGUAGAAUGUCAUACUUUUGCGAUCACACGCAAUUAAUACAACUUCAACAACGAGUAUGUGAUUGCAGAAUUCAGUGAAUCAUCGAAUCUUUGAACGCACCUUGCGCCCUUUGGUAUUCCGAAGGGCACACCCGUUUGAGUGUCGUGACAUCCUCAAACCUUCUUGGUUUCUUGACCAGGAAGGCUUUGGACUCUGGAGGUUCUUUGCUGGCUUUACUUUGUUUGAAGCCAGCUCCUCUGAAAUGAAUUAGUGGGAUCUGCUUUGCGGAUCCUUGACGUGAUAAGAUAUUUCUACGUCUUGGAUCUUGCACUGUUCACUCUGGAUCCUGCUUCUAACCGUCUCAAUAGAAGACAAUGAAUGGGUCAAGUGAUUGCCACUUGGCCCACAAAACCUUGACCUCAAAUCGGGUGAGACUACCCGCUGAACUUAAGCAUAUCAAUUAAGCGGAGGAAG